UACGGAGGGUGCGAGCGUUGUCCGGAAUCAUUGGGCGUAAAGGGCGCGUAGGUGGCCCAGUAAGCGUGCGGUGAAAGCUCGGGGCUCAACCCCGAGUCGGCCGUGCGAACUACUGGGCUGGAGCACUGUAGAGGCAGGCGGAAUUCCGGGUGUAGCGGUGGAAUGCGUAGAGAUCCGGAAGAACACCGGUAGCGAAGGCGGCCUGCUGGGCAGUUGCUGACACUGAGGCACGAAAGUGUGGGGAUCAAACAGG
rnacentral:rRNA from 1 species